CUCUUUCUGUAAAUGUUCCACCACAAAACAUUCUGUUACACUGGAAUUAAGGUUGUAAAUACGCAUUAAGAAGUUUGAGCAAAUUCUGCACUAAUUGACCGUCCCAAGUACUGACAUCGAUGGAGAAAAAGCUAUUGGAGAGCAUUACAGGCUGGGUUCUCACCCCAGAAAUGCUACUCCAUCUCCACGUGAUCGAGAAUCAAAUCCUGUGCUGAACUUGGUAACAAACACCUGCUGGAGGUAUCAGGGAUGGAAGAUCAAUCUCACUCUUCACAAACAUCAAGGACAGGACUGCAAAAGCCCCCCAGUGGCUUAAUUUGGUUCUCAUUGAGUAAAUUACAUUUUUACCACUGGCUUUAACGACAACGGAGCCACGAAAAUAAUCAGCACUUUUGGAAGUCCUAUCCUCUGUAAUUCAAAUUCAAGAAAAUAAUGUCGGUUUCUUUUGUGCCCUUAGCUAACCUCUUAAAAAAAUCCCAUCAGCCUUUCACCCACACUUACAUCAUGGGAUGAACCACGGAUCACAACGAUACCAAGCUUACUUUCUGCUCCAGCCACAGAAAACACAUGCUACUGGCAAAACCACUGCUAAUUGAAGUCGACAUCACUCUUCCCCUUGCCCUUGACAGAUCUGACCACUUCUGUGGCUGAAAUUAAAACAUUUGUUUUCCUUCACCUUCAGAAGAUCAUACUUUAUUGUUAACAUGUUAGAGAACAGUAUCACAGGCUAAGCAAAUCAAACAAUAAUUAACAGAAAAUUAAACAACAGCAAUUAAUAGGGAUACCUUCAAGUAGUCUCCGAAUGAUAAUACAACAACUCACAGCGGUGCUAUGAAGCCUGGUUUACUUCUACCUGUAAUUUACUUUGAGAUCUUAGCAUAAAAGGAGCUUAGAAUUGAAAAAUAUCAUUAUUAGCAUAAAAAUGAGGUAUGUUCUAUUUAUUUUGUGCAAUAAUUUAGCAGAUCAUAUUACACAACUUUAUACUGUACACACAAGGUCACACAGGAUAUGACUUGUCACACUGCGUUGCCUAUGCAUGAAAUCCUCAUUUUGUGCAGAGCUCCAAAAUAUAUAUUCAUGUCAGAAUAUCUUACUGUCCAGCAAUAGCCUGAGAGUUUCAUUCUAUUACAUACAGGGGAAACAAAUUCAGCGUCAUUUGAGAGUUCUCCUCUCCUCUCAAUACCCGAAUGAACCCUCAUUAAUCAAGAACUGCAGAUAGCCACCAAAAGGGAACCAGCCCUGUUACUGCUCUCUGCAGUCUGAGACGAAAUUAUAUCCAUUCUCUUAGCAUUUUUCAAGCAUUUCUGUGCGACUGCCCCAAUCAAACAGCCAAAAUGUGGCACCAAUUUCAUAAGAUCAGUUAGCGGGGAAGAGAAUAGCUUUAUUAAAUGCUAAAAAAAAAAAACAACCCAACAAUCAGAAUUGUUUCUAAGGAUGGAAUGUCACCGACUGCGCCAGCAUGGCUUCUACUGCACAGCUCACAGCUCUGGAGACAGCACGACUUUCUCCAUCCUGCCCAGCAGCGCACACCGGGACCUCCAGCACUGCUCACGCCCGCCCUCCUGAUGCUGGUAGAUGGACAAGCAGGGGCUCCUAUCUAACCCUGCUGCCUGUCUCCCCAUCAGCUCCUGGUUGUUUAGGUUUAAAUGCUUUUCUCCUCCAAAUACAUCCACGCUGGAGAAAACAAGAAAAUUCUUUGAGUAUGACUUCUUGGAGAAUUCUUUUUUUUUUUUAACCAGACAUAAAUCCGAAAUUAUGGUAUAAGCCAUUCCUAGCAGGGCAGCUUGCUCAACGAAAUCCUUAAAUCUAGGAUGUGUCAGUUUGCAUUAGGAAAAGAAAUACUACCGUGGUCUUCAAUAAAACAGCAGAAAGCAGGAACAGUUUAGAGAUCAGAGCACAUAAGCAGUGUAGCCUCCAGACCAGAACAGCAGGUCUGACACGAGAUUCAGGUAAAUAGCCAGAACAGAACAGCAAUUAACAGUUAACAGGCCACUUAAGUUAAGAGCUUUCCUUGAGAAAACAGCCUCAGACCUUCAGAGACUCCGGGAACUGACAGUUCAAGCAGGAAGUAAAAUGGCAAAAAAUCGAAGCGUGUGGGGAAUUUCCUCAGCAGGCCUUUUAUCCACAAUCUGUACGUACGAAGCCAGGAGUGCCCGGCCUGAAUGCGGAUGGAGGGCAAUGGGAGUGCAAGGGAGGAGGCUCUGCAGACAGCGGGAUCUCUGUGCUGCAGCUCUCGUUUUCUGGGCAGCUGACAUCCCCUAUGCGCACUUUGUGUUCCCGCAGUCCCAACUAAGGGGCACUGGCUUGGAGAAGCAGAGCCACAGCCCGCGUGCAGGCAAACCUGGGGACAUGCAGGAGCACAACCAUUGGAAAUGAAAGUAGGUCCAGCACAGAGAACACCGGAAACCAGCCAACUGCCUUCCCCAGCCCUUCGAUCCUACUGCCAAAGCAGUCAUCCUGCAGUCCCCGUGCCCCCAGCAGAACCCUGCAAGACGUGUGCACAGUGCUGUUCCCGCAGCGCCCCGCCGCUCCCCAGCAUCCUGCUGCAGGGAUGCAUGCAGCACAGCCAGACAUGCAGCCCAGGAUGAGAGCGAAGAUAGAAAUAAUUUUGCUGUGGAUCCAAAUGGUGGCAUCGUGCUGUACUGACUUCGUCUCUUGUCUUCAUUCCACUAGCUUUUCACAAGGACGUGCUUUGGAGGCAUGACUUUACAAAGAAAAGAAAAUGCAACACUUCAUCUGAUACCAGUUCUGUUGCGUGAGUCCAACUGAGGGAUUGCUCAAGGGUACCUUUGUACCACGUCAAACUUCAGGAUUUUUACUACUCCAGCACAGUGGACUGUGACAGAGAUACAGGUAAUAUUAAUCACCAUGGAAUCAUAGAAUGGCCUGGGUUGAAAAGGACCACAAUGCUCAUUCAGUUUCAACCCCCUGCUGUGUGCAGGGUCACCAACCAGCAGACCAGGCUGCCCAGAGCCACAUCCAGCCUGGCCUUGAAUGCCUCCAGGGAUGGGGCAUCCACAGCCUCCUUGGGCAACCUGUUCAGUGCGUCACCACCCUCUGUGUGAAAAACUUCUUCCUAAUAUCCAACCUAAACCUCCCUUGUCUCAGUUUAAAACCAUUCCCCCUUAUGCUAUCACUAUCCACCUUCGUAAACAACCGAUGCCCCUCCUGUUUGUAUGCUCCCUUCAAGUACUGGAAGG
ensembl:lncRNA